rnacentral:sRNA from 1 species
GAUUUACCAAGUGCAAGUUCAUGCAUGAUCUGCGCCGGUUCGAGCAACGUACGUCUCGUCGAUCUCCGCGCGCCGCCGUACGUGGUCGAUCGUCGUUCCCGGUACGUUUAGAGAAUCGACAUAUCGAUCCAUGUUAACAUUAAUUCGAUAUCUUGCCGUCUGUAUCGUUUUGAUGCACCGUCGUUCGUGCAUGACGACCCGAUGACCGUCGGAACUGAGUUUAGACUUUAGAGAGGGGAGAGGCGCAUUGAGUUUUUCUAGCGAUUGCGUGACACAUAGGGCCUGUUUAGCGUAGCUUAUGAUUCUGAGAAACAGCUGAUUGGUAGCCAGCUUCUAAGAAUUUAAAAAAGUUGAAUUUCUCAGCUUCUGUCUUCUAAUUCAUUUCCUAUAUUCUACAACUACAACUUCUUAGAAAUCUGGACUAAAGUUGGACUGUUUGAGGGAACUUCUAAUUCUGGAAGAAGCUACAGCAGCUAGAAGCUCCUCCCAACAGGCACUAUUCCCCUCUUGUCUUCGUAACCGUCUCGACGUAUUACCGAUGGUGGUAUAUACGAAGUACUUUUCAUAUAUAUAGACACACACUUUUCAACGUGUAAGAUUUUUGUGUGUUCGCGAAAGAAAAAAAGACGGCUAAUAGGCUUUUUCUUCCCCCAAGGAAUAGGGGCAUAAACAUACUUGCUUCCCGAUCAAGCUUAACGGUGUGAUUUUCGGAAAAAAAUGACAUUCUAAACAUAAAUUCCUUGAAAAACUAUUUAAAUCUAUCUUUUGACUUUAUAAUAUCUAAUUAAUUUAUUUGUAUCCUUGUAAUUAUAAAAGAAAUCAUUGAACUAUUCGGAAAAAAAAACUCUUUCUACAGGACGGAAUUUUCAUAUUAGGGUCGUGAUGAAUUAUUCUGUGGAGUACUCCCUCCAUUUCAAGUUAUAACACAUUUUGACUUUGGUCAAAUUCAAACUGUUUCAAGUUUAACUAAAUUUAUAGACAAAUAUAGUACUUCCUCCGUUUCUUCAUAAUGUAAGUCAUUCUAGCAUUGCUCACACUCAUAUAUAUGUUAAUAAAUCUAGACACAUAUAUAAAUCUAGAUUCAUUAACAUGUAUAUGAAUAUAGACAAUGCUAUAGUGACUUACAUUACGAAACGGAGGGAGUAAUAUUUAUAAUACUAAAUUAGUUUCAUCAAGUCAAUAAUUGAAUCUAUCUUCAUAAUAAAUUUAUCUUGGGUUAAAAAUGUUACUCCCUCCGUAUCUUAAUGUAUAACGCCGUUGACUUUUUGACUAACAUUUAACCAUUCAUCUUAUUAAAAAAAUUAUGUAAUUAUCAUUUAUUUUAUUAUGAUUUGAUUUAUCAUCAAAUGUUCUUUAAGUAUGAUAUAAAUAUUUUUAUAUUUGCAUCAAAAUUUUGAAUAAGACGAAUGGUCAAAAGUUGAUAAAAAGUCAAUGGUGUUACGUAUAUAAGUUGAGAGACACGUUAUAUAUGAUAUUAUAGUUUGAAGAUGUGAAUUAAACUCGACGUCAAGUCGAGAGACUCAACGUGAAUUUAUUCCUGCAGAAGGGCUAUGUAUCCCUGAGUCAGGCCUUCAUAACCCAACCGGGGGAUUUAACAUGGACCACGUUCUGACACUGGUGGAGAAAUGCUUUUUAGUCGCGGUUCGUAACCUCCCUGUAGUCUCGGUUUUUCAACCGGGACUACGAAUCCGGGACUAAAGAUCGCUAUCUUUAGUCCCGGUUCAAAUAAUCGGGACUAAAAAUCAAUCUUUACCAACCGGGACUAAAGAUGGAGCCACCAACCGGGACUAAAGAUAUUUUUUUUCUUUUUUUUUUCUGCUUUUAAUAUUGAAUAUUGAUUUCACACCGUCCCCUCCCAUAUCCAAAUCAUCACAUACCACAGAACAUCUCCAAAUCCUCAAAUCCUCAAACAAAUCAUCUCCAAAUACAUCACAAACUCUUAAAAAAAUUACAUCACAGGGUUCUAAAAAAAUUCAUCACAGAUUCACAUC